UACGUAGGGUGCGAGCGUUAAUCGGAAUUACUGGGCGUAAAGCGUGCGCAGGCGGUUUUGUAAGCCGGAUGUGAAAUCCCCGGGCUUAACCUGGGAAUGGCAUUCGGGACUGCAAGGCUGGAGUGCGGCAGAGGAGACUGGAAUUCCUGGUGUAGCAGUGAAAUGCGUAGAUAUCAGGAGGAACACCGAUGGCGAAGGCAGCCUCCUGGGCCAACAC
rnacentral:rRNA from 1 species